GGGGAUUUAGCUGAGAGGCAUAAGCACCUGCCUUGCAAGCAGGCAGUAGUGAGUUCAAUCCCUG
rfam:Cavia porcellus supercont2_21 genomic scaffold, whole genome shotgun sequence.